UGAGGAAUAUUGGUCAAUGGGCGAGAGCCUGAACCAGCCAAAUCGCGUGAAGGAAGACUGCCUUAUGGGUUGUAAACUUCUUUUAUACAGGAAUAAAAAAGGGGACGUGUCCCUUAUUGCAUGUACUGUAUGAAUAAGCAUCGGCUAACUCCGUGCCAGCAGCCGCGGUAAUACGGAGGAUGCGAGCGUUAUCCGGAUUUAUUGGGUUUAAAGGGUGCGCAGGCGGGCUUUUAAGUCAGCGGUGAAAUCUCGGGGCUUAACUCCGAAACUGCCGUUGAAACUGGGAGUCUUGAGUAUGGAUGAAGUAGGCGGAAUUCGUUGUGUAGCGGUGACAUGCUUAGAUAUAACGAGGAACUCCGAUUGCGUAGGCAGCUUACUAAGCCAUAACUGACGCUCAAGCACGAAAGCGUGGGGAUCAAACAGGAUUAGAUACCCUGGUAGUCCACGCCGUAAACGAUGAUUACUAGUUGUAUGCGAUAUACCGUAUGUGACUAAGCGAAAGCGAUAAGUAAUCCACCUGGGGAGUACGCCGGCAACGGUGAAACUCAAAUGAAUUGACGGGGUCAUAGCUGUUUCCUG
rnacentral:rRNA from 1 species